CCUGCCCUUUCAAGGUCAUCUAGCUCUCAACACCUCAAGUGGAACGUUUACAGGGACGUGACUUCUUAACGGUUCCUUUGAACCGUUUGCGGCACAAGGAACAAAAGCGUUCGCUUUGGUCUGGGUGCCGGGAGGGAGCCAGGAGGGCCCUGGAAACCCACGCCUUAUGCGCUCCCAGAGAGACAAUGUUUACCUGGGAACUAAUGAGCCAUUCUGUACCUUAACCCGCCAGGUCCGGUUAUCAUCUGGAAUGCCUCUUGGGGGCCAGCCAAGCGGGCCUAGGGGUUGGAGCAACUUGUAUCCAUAGAUUGCUCUCCGAAACGUGAGUGGGCCUCUCCCAAUCAGUUGAAGAUCUGAAUCGCAUAAAAGACUGACUUCCCCCAAGCGAGAGGCAAUCCUGCAGCAAACAGCCUUCAGACUCAACUUGCAACAUUGGCUCUUCCUGGUCCCCAGUCUGCCAGACCACCCUGAAGACUCUGGACAUGGCAGCCUCUGUGACUAGGCAGGCCCCCCACCCCAGCCUCUGGCCGAGAUCCUUCUGGCACGGUGAGCGCGAGAGACCCGGCUCUGCCCGCUCACUGUGUCUUCUGCUCUGCUGGAUUUCCAAGUACACCAUCAUCUUGUCUGCAAAUGGAGCUGACCCUACUUCCUUCCAUUCGAGUGCCUGUCAUUGUCCAAUUUUCCAAUUGCCUGGAGAUCAUGCUGUUUGUGUCCUAAGAGACGUUUAUCUAGCCAAAGUCACACAGAUUAUCUCCUGUACUUGUUUCUGGAAGACUGUGAGUGUUGGCUCUUAUGCUCGCAUAUUAGACCCAUUCCACAGAUGAAUGUUGGAUGAUUACAUCCAGCACCUGAGGAGCCACAUGUAUGCUUAGAGAUAUGUGCUGAGAUUUACUCUCCUAGGGAAGCUUAUUCCAACCCCACUUACUGAAAAGACAAACCUUUCCCCGCUGAAUUAGCUUGAGGGCUUUAUAAAAACCAAUUGAGUGGAUAGGUGGGGUUUGUUUCUGAACCUGCUGUUCUGUUCUUCUGACCCACGUGUCCAUCCUGAUGCCCAAAACAAUAUUAUUGUCUGAAUUACCGCGGUCUUACAGUCAGGCUUAAAACCAGGUAAUGUUGGGGGCACCUGGGUGGCUCAGUCGGUUGAGCACCGGCUUCAGUUCAGGUCACGAUCUCACUGUCCGUGAG